rnacentral:tRNA from 1 species
AGAGUAUAGCUCAGUGGUAGAGCGCCUGCCUAGCAUGCACGAGGUCCUGGGUUCAGUCCCCAGUUCCUCCA